UACGUAGGGUGCGAGCGUUGUCCGGAAUUAUUGGGCGUAAAGAGCUUGUAGGCGGUUUGUCGCGUCUGCUGUGAAAACCUAGGGCUUAACUCUGGGCGUGCAGUGGGUACGGGCAGGCUAGAGUGCGGUAGGGGGAGACUGGAAUUCCUGGUGUAGCGGUGAAAUGCGCAGAUAUCAGGAGGAACACCGGUGGCGAAGGCGGGUCUCUGGGCCGUAACUGACGCUGAGGAGCGAAAGCAUGGGGAGCGAACAGG
rnacentral:rRNA from 1 species